rnacentral:rRNA from 1 species
UACGAAGGGGGCGAGCGUUGUUCGGAAUCACUAGGGCGUAAGGCGCGUAGGCGGCCCUUCUUGUCGCGUGUGAAAGCCCCGGGCUCAACCUGGGAACGGCGCCGCGAGACGGGAGGGCGUGGAGUUCGGGAGAGGAGCGUGGAAUUCCCAGUGUAGAGGUGGAAAUUCGUAGAUAUUGGGAAGAACACCGGUGGCGAAGGCGGCGCUCUGGACCGAGACUGACGCUGAGGCGCGAAAGCGUGGGGAGCAAACAGGG